AGGCAAGACUGUGGAUGGAACCAAAAUUGGUAGCAAGCCGUUUGGUGGUAAGCUGGAUGUGUAUUCAAAAGGUUUGAGAUCUCUUUUGAAGUAUAUUAAGGACAAUUAUGGCGAUCCAGAGAUUAUGAUCACAGAAAAUGGAUACGGAGAUGAUCUUGGAGAUAAGCAUGAUGAUGUAGAA